UGGGGAAUAUUGGACAAUGGGCGCAAGCCUGAUCCAGCCAUGCCGCGUGAGUGAUGAAGGCCCUAGGGUUGUAAAGCUCUUUUGUGCGGGAAGAUAAUGACGGUACCGCAAGAAUAAGCCCCGGCUAACUUCGUGCCAGCAGCCGCGGUAAUACGAAGGGGGCUAGCGUUGCUCGGAAUCACUGGGCGUAAAGGGUGCGUAGGCGGGUCUUUAAGUCAGGGGUGAAAUCCUGGAGCUCAACUCCAGAACUGCCUUUGAUACUGAGGAUCUUGAGUUCGGGAGAGGUGAGUGGAACUGUGAGUGUAGAGGUGAAAUUCGUAGAUAUUCGCAAGAACACCAGUGGCGAAGGCGGCUCACUGGCCCGAUACUGACGCUGAGGCACGAAAGCGUGGGGAGUAAACA
rnacentral:rRNA from 1 species